rnacentral:piRNA from 1 species
UGGAUGUUCAGUGGUGUCUGGGCACUGA